AUUCAGCUGAUGAGUCCCAAAUAGGACGAAAUACACUUCUCGGAU
rnacentral:hammerhead_ribozyme from 1 species